GGUAAAAUGGCUGAAUUUAGGUAAUAAAUUGUAAAUUUAUUUAUGAAUAUAUUAUUCUUUUACCA
rnacentral:tRNA from 1 species